UGGGGAAUAUUGCACAAUGGGGGAAGCCCUGAUGCAGCAACGCCGCGUGAAGGAAGACGGUUUUCGGAUUGUAAACUUCUGUUCUUAGUGAAGAAUAAUGACGGUAGCUAAGGAGCAAGCCACGGCUAACUACGUGCCAGCAGCCGCGGUAAUACGUAGGUGGCAAGCGUUGUCCGGAAUUACUGGGUGUAAAGGGAGCGCAGGCGGGAGACCAAGUCAGCUGUGAAAACUACGGGCUUAACCUGUAGACUGCAGUUGAAAACUGGUUUUCUUGAGUGAAGUAGAGGUUGGCGGAAUUCCGAGUGUAGCGGUGAAAUGCGUAGAUAUUCGGAGGAACACCGGUGGCGAAGGCGGCCAACUGGGCUUUAACUGACGCUGAGGCUCGAAAAGUGUGGGGAGCAAACAGGAUUAGAUACC
rnacentral:rRNA from 1 species